rnacentral:rRNA from 1 species
UACCAGCACCCCGAGUGGUCGGGACGAUUAUUGGGCCUAAAGCAUCCGUAGCCGGUUCUGCAAGUCCCCCGUUAAAUCCAGCUGCUCAACAGAUGGGCCGCGGAGGAUACUACAGAGCUAGGAGGCAGGAGAGGCAAGCGGUACUCAGUGGGUAGGGGUAAAAUCCGUUGAUCCAUUGAAGACCACCAGUGGCGAAGGCGGCUUGCCAGAAUGCGCUCGACGGUGAGGGAUGAAAGCUGGGGGGAGCAAACCGG